GUGAGUUGAAUCCUGUUCAAUGUUUCAAAUGCCACCACCUGACUUCAAACAUCUCAAAGACCCACACACUGUGACUUUUUGUCUUGUUUUGUUUUUGCCUGUUUUGUGCCCCUAUUCGGAAGACCUGGUCAACCCCACCAAGAGUUUGCUCCGAUGUUUCUAAAAUCAAUUGUGCACGGAAAUACUUCCUUCCUGGAAGAAGGAGUCAUGAGAAGAGUUCAGUGCUGAGCGAGAAUGAAAGUGGGAGGCAGGACCAUGUGUUAUGAGGGACCAGUGAAAAAGCCUGAGGGGAGGGAGGGACAGAGGCAAAAAGCCUUUGAGACCAGACCUAGUUUCAACUUGACUGUGAGUCUACUUCAAGCCUUUGAGACCAGACCUAGUUCCAACUUGACUGUGAGUCUGUUUCCGGCUCUUUCUUUCACAAGAUGGCCUUGGGCUAAAUGGGCUUUAGGCCCUAAAACCCUGGCGUUCCUAACCAGGAACAUAAAGGCCACGGGUGCCCCCAGUUUCUGAAGUUAUUUGGGUGCUGGUGCCCUAAGUUGAGGAUCUCCUCAUUCUGAGAAACAAUAGACAAUGUCACAAUGUUGAAUGCGGGUGGAUGCUACAUUACAGUUCAGUCACCAAGAGUCAAGAGACCUCUAGGGAAGAUCCUGACACUUCCACUGUUCUCCAAGGGCUACAGAGGAGCAAGGCUGUGCUUCCUGUGCUGUGGUCUGGCUGGCUAGACACCUGGAAGUCAGUGAUUCCACUCUUUCUCCCAAAGACUUCAUAAGAAAAAAGCCCUAGAGGACGCUGCAUAGCAAGACUGUUAAAAGAUACCAGACUCUGGAGGCAAACUGUCUAACAAAGACUCUGGCUGGAUCUAUGACCUCCUUCUCUCCGAAGCCCAGUUUCCUUAUUCACAAACUGGGACUGAUGAUAGAUACCUAUGUUAUGGUGCGCUGUAAGGAUGACACAAUAUAACACGUGGAAUACUUGGA
rnacentral:lncRNA from 1 species